rnacentral:rRNA from 1 species
AUACGAAGGGUGCAAGCGUUGUUCGGAUUUAUUGGGCGUAAAGCGCGCGCAGGCGGAUUGCUAAGUCAGAUGUGAAAUCUCGGGGCUCAACCCCGAAACUGCGUCUGAAACUGGUGAUCUAGAAUCUUGGAGAGGGAAGGGGAAUUUCGCAUGUAGGGGUAAAAUCCGUAGAGAUGCGAAGGAGCACCAGGGGCGAAGGCGCCUUCCUGGACAAGUAUUGACGCUGAGGCGCGAAAGCGUGGGGAGCAAACAGGAUUAGAAACCCUUGUAGUCC